rnacentral:rRNA from 1 species
CAAGCGGUGGAGCAUGUGGUUUAAUUCGACACAACGCGAAGAACCUUACCUGGGCUCGAAAUGUAGUGGAAUCCGGUGGAAACAUCGGCGCCCAGCAAUGGGCCGCUAUAUAGGUGCUGCAUGGCUGUCGUCAGCUCGUGUCGUGAGAUGUUGGGUUAAGUCCCGCAACGAGCGCAACCCUUGUUACCAGUUGCUACCAUUUAGUUGAGCACUCUGGUGAGACCGCCUCGGAUAACGGGGAGGAAGGCGGGGAUGACGUCAAGUCCUCAUGGCCUUUAUGUCCAGGGCUACACACGUGCUACAAUGGCCGGUACAAACCGUCGCAAACCCGUGAGGGGGAGCUAAUCGGAAAAAGCCGGCCUCAGUUCGGAUUGGAGUCUGCAACUCGACUCCAUGAAGCUGGAAUCGCUAGUAAUCGUGGAUCAGCAUGCCACGGUGAAUACGUUCCCGGGCCUUGUACACACC